GGACUCUCAGGGUUGCACCUGGAGAGUUUCAAGUACUCUACCAAUUCCAAUUAUGGGAGGGAGGGUCAAGCAAAGGCCUACCCAUUCCAUUCCUAGCUUGGGCAGCGGCUAGCGAGUGGAAGGCAAUCUGCUACAAGU
rnacentral:snoRNA from 2 species